UCCUGGAAGCACCCCCCCCCCAGUAGCUGUGGAAAUUGGGUCUGUUGGUAGCAGGUGGGAGGAAUAUUCCAGUAUCUAGGGUGUAAACAUGUCCACGAGGCUGAUUUCAAGCUGCUAAUUAAUUCUCACUGAACUCAGAGUUGGGAAGAGAUGGACAAGUAGCUCUCAGGAAUCAUGUGAGCUGGUCAGAACACAUUUCUAGAACCUUCCACCACCUACUGUCUGACAUUCCAGAGGCGCUUGUUAAAUAAACAAUGAUUGGUUCAUAGGACGGGAUGCUAAUCAGUCAUGGGAAGAUCAUACACUAACUUAAUUUUUUUUCUCCUCCUCCCCCCUUUAGGAUCUUCCUGAGUCGCCCAGGCUGGCCUGGGACUUGUGACCCUCCUGUGUCAGUCUCAGAGCUGAAAUUGCAGGCGUUCCCCCCCAGGCUUGGCUUAGGGUUCUACCUAAGAACAACUAGUCAGAUUUGAAAAGACUUCAGAGCUUGUUUUCAAGUUUAAAAAGUAAGGAAGGUCAUUGAAAAGGGCAGAACAAAAAUUCCAAAAAUCACCUUCUCUGUAACGUCAACCAGACACCUGGCAAAACCAUCAGCAUCCACAUUUGGAGAGCUGGGGAAAUCAGUCCAAGGCUUGGAACCUGGAAGACAUUAUUCAAGGAGAGUGGAUCUCCACGACAAGAACGAGAUUUGUGAUAUCUUAACAUACCUUACACCCCUGCCCCUGUUCUUGAGGUCUGUAACAGCAUUUAAAAAUGAUAGCUAGAGCUGGGCACAGUAGCACACACCUGUAAUCCUGCAGCAAUUUGGGAGGCUGAGGCAGGAGGAUUGAAAGUGGAGGCCAGCCUCAGCCACUUAGCCAGGCCCUAAGCAACUCAGUGAGACCCUGUCUAUAUGGAGCUGGAGAGAUUUCAGACCUGUUCCCAGGUCACAGAACAGUCAUUUUCUGACCUGUGUAGAGGCCCACAGGAAGACCUCGGUUGUGAGGCUGCCUGUCCUUGGCCCAUCCUGGCCCUCAUCCUAUGUGAACACGCCUCUGCAAAUUUGUUUUUGUUUGGGGAGUUUUUUUUUUUUUUUUGAUACCAGGGACUGAGCCCCAUCCCCAGUGUUUUAUUUAUUUAUUUUUAUUUAGAGACAGAGUCUCACUGAGUUGCUUAGGGCCUUGUUAAGUUGCUGAGGCUGGCCUCUAACUUGCGAUCCUCCUGCCUCAGCCUCCCCAGCUUUCGGGAUGAUAGGCGUGUGCCACUGUGCCCAGCCCUAGAGAACAUUUAAAAAAAAAAAAAUUUCAGACAAGUGUUUUUAAAUUUGUGACCGCUUGAUGAUCCAUUCAUCAAACAAUAGACAAUAAAUAAAUAAAUAAAUUUUAAAAAAGGAAAAGGUUCUGGAAUAAUCCAUGAGAUCAUUGGAAGCCCUGACAGAGUCUCAGGAACCCAGGAGGCCGAGGGCAUCGUGGGUAACGGGGCCUGCGCAUGCUCAGAAAAAGAUCCCGAGGCCCUCAGUGGACCUCUGCUGAGUUUAAAGCAGAGCAUAAGCAGGAAGUCGGGGCGGAGGUGGCGCUGCGGACUGUCCUCCUGCCAACUGAGACGUGUCCCAACACACACUCAACCUCGUGGCUGGGAGUGAGGGGUUGAUGAGCUCCAGGCGUUUAAAACUGCACCCCAACAUACAGCACCUUGGCAACGGGGUACUUUGAACUGAAGGACAAUUUCAAAGAUCCUCAGAGGCCAAAUCUCUUCUUGACCUUUUGUGCUCCCUCCCGCCUUCUCUCCUGCUCCAAAGCAGGUCAUAAAGACUCAAAUUCCUUUUCUGGAUGUGGAUCAUAGAAACUAGAAGCUGUCUUCCUCAAAGUCAGCCAUAAAAUCUAAAUUUAUUGCUGCUCCAUUGUUUGGCGUCCUGCCCCAUAGCCCAGAGGCUGAGGGAGGAGGAUCAUAAGGUGGAUCCAGGGAGGCCAGGAAAAUCCAAGAGCACCU
rnacentral:lncRNA from 1 species